CUAAAGGUGAGCGCCGGCUGCAGGGCGGAGGACUCUGGCCUCUGCGGGGCCGAGCCACGGAGCCACCUGGCUUGCGGGGAUCCCUGGGACCCAGCCUUGUUCUAUUCUAAUGGUGUUUGGUUUUGGAACCUGCAUUUCUUUGAAAAAGAGUGAGCAUGUGCAUUUUCCCAGAUGCCUGGUAUCCAACUGCACUUCUCCAUGUGUGCAUUGUCCCCUGAGCUGGCAAGAAGAUCCUACUAGUUGGUCUGCAUGCCAUGCCAGCUCGGCCUUGCACCCUGGGGGCCCAGGUAACUAGCUCUCACCAACAGAAAGAGAUGUGAUGGACAUCACCUGAGGCCAGACCCUAAGACCUCUGUGUGCCCCCUCCGUGUCUCCUGUCUGCAGCUGUUGUCCACACCAAGGGUGGCCUACAGAGGGAAGUGAGGACCUUGGGACUUCCUCCAGGACAGCCCUCGCUGUCCAAAUCUCCACCUGCUGCAGAGCUGCCUCCAGUCAAGCCCUUGUUUCCAGCUUUCUGUGCCCUAAAUAAACUUCUGCUGGGAUUGAGCCAUCAGCAUUCUGUGGUGGGCGUCGCUGCUGCGAGGUUGCCCUCGUGCACACAAGCUCCUCACAGGACUUCCAGGAUGAUAUGGAAGAGUGACUGAGAGCAGCCGCCCG
rnacentral:lncRNA from 1 species